UACGGAGGGUGCAAGCGUUAAUCGGAAUUACUGGGCGUAAAGAGUGCGUAGGUUGUAUGGUGUGCUAGAUGUGAAAUCCAUGGGCUUAACCUGUGAAUUGCAUUUAAGACUGCCGUGCUAGAGUGUUGUAGAGGGUGGCGGAAUUUCCAGUGUAGCGGUGAAAUGCGUAGAUAUUGGAAGGAACACCAGUGGCGAAGGCAGCCACCUGGACAAACACUGACACUGAGGCACGAAAGCGUGGGGAGCAAACAGG
rnacentral:rRNA from 1 species